rnacentral:rRNA from 1 species
CCUACGGGGGGCAGCAGUGAGGAAUAUUGGUCAAUGGACGAGAGUCUGAACCAGCCAAGUAGCGUGAAGGAUGACUGCCCUAUGGGUUGUAAACUUCUUUUAUAUGGGAAUAAAACGUUCCACGUGUGGGAUUUUGUAUGUACCAUAUGAAUAAGGAUCGGCUAACUCCGUGCCAGCAGCCGCGGUAAUACGGAGGAUCCGAGCGUUAUCCGGAUUUAUUGGGUUUAAAGGGAGCGUAGGUGGAUUGUUAAGUCAGUUGUGAAAGUUUGCGGCUCAACCGUAAAAUUGCAGUUGAAACUGGCAGUCUUGAGUACAGUAGAGGUGGGCGGAAUUCUUGGUGUAGCGGUGAAAUGCUUAGAUAUCACGAAGAACUCCGAUUGCGAAGGCAGUUCACUGGACUGCAACUGACACUGAGGCUCGAAAGUGUGGGUAUCAAACAGGAUUAGAUACCCUGGUAGUC